rnacentral:rRNA from 1 species
GGNNGNNAGCACAGGGCGGCUGUCUUACCAUGCAGUCGAACGAUGAACCACUUCGGUGGGGAUUAGUGGGCGAGUAACACGUGGGCAAUCUGCCCUGCACUCUGCGAACGGGUGGGACAAGCCCUGGAAACGGGGUCUAAUGAUCCUCGCAGGCAUCUGCGAGGUUCGAAAGCUCCGGCGGUGCAGGAUGAGCCCGCGGCCUAUCAGCUAGAUUGGUGAGGUAACGGCUCACCAAGGCGACGACGGGUAGCCGGCCUGAGAGGGCGACCGGCCACACUGGGCUGAGACACCCGGCCCAGACUCCUACGGGAGGCGGAGCAGUGGGGAAUAUUGCACAAUGGGCGGCCUGUGCAGCGACGCCGCGUGAGGGAUGACGGCCUUCGGGUUGUAAACCUCUUUCAGCAGGGAAGAAGCGAAAGUGACGGUACCUGCAGAAGAAGCGCCGGCUAACUACGUGCCAGCAGCCGCGGUAAUACGUAGGGCGCAAGCGUGUCCGGAAUUAUUGGGCGUAAAGAGCUCCCCGUAGGCGGCUUGUCACGUCGGUUGGUGAAAGCCCGGGGACCCCGGGUCUGCAGUCGAUACGGGCAGGCUAGAGUUCGGUAGGGGAGAUCGGAAUUCCUGGUGUAGCGGUGAAAUGCGCAGAUAUCAGGAGGAACACCGGUGGCGAAGGCGGAUCUCUGGGCCGAUACUGACGCUGAGGAGCGAAAGCGUGGGGAGCGAACAGGAUUAGGGAUACCCUGGUAGUCCACCCGCCGUAAACGGUGGGCACUGUGGGCAACAUUCCACGUUGUCCGUGCCGCAGCUAACGCAUUAAGUGCCCCGCCUGGGGAGUACGGCCGCGAAGGCUAAAACUCAAAGGAAUUGGGACGGGGGCCCGCACAAGCGGCGGAGCAUGUGGCUUAAUUCGACGCGCGAAGAACCUUACCAAGGCUUGACAUACACCGGAAAACCCUGGAGACAGGGUCCCCCUUGUGGUCGGUGUACCCCAGGUGGUGCAUGGCUGUCGUCAGCUCGUGUCGUGAGAUGUUGGGUUAAGUCCCGCAACGAGCGCCCUUGUCCCGUGUUGCCAGCAGGCCCUUGUGGUGCUGGGGACUCACGGGAGACCGCCGGGGUCAACUCGGAGGAAGGUGGGGACGACGUCAAGUCAUCAUGCCCCUUAUGUCUUGGGCUGCACCCCCACGUGCUUGGCGGGUACAAUGGGGAAGCUGCGAUACCGCGAGGUGGAGCGAAUCUCAGCCGGUCUCAGUUCGGAUUGGGGUAUGCAACUCGACCCCAUGAAGUCGGAGUCGCUAGUAAUCGCAGAUCAGCAUUGCUGCGGUGAAUACGUUCACGGGCCUUGUACACACCGCCCGUCACGUCACGAAAGUCGGUAACACCCGAAGCCGGUGGCCCAACCCCUGGGGGAGGGAGCUUCGAAGGUGACUGGAGGUGAGGGGC